rfam:Triticum aestivum genome assembly, contig: Triticum_aestivum_CS42_TGACv1_scaffold_159943_2DL
UGAAUACUCUGUCCGUCCAAAAAUACUUGUUGGAGAAAUAGACAAAAAUGAAUGUAUCUAGAAUUAAAAUAUGUCUAGAUACGUACAUUUCUCCGACAAGUAUUUUCGGACGGAGAGAGUACAAG